rnacentral:lncRNA from 1 species
AUCUUACCCAGCAGGCAUCCCUGCGGAGAGAAGGAGAGGCUCAGCCCACUGACUAGUCCCAGAAGUCAGUUUUGUCCUCCUCAUUUGUCUGCAAAGCAGAAUAUUCAACACAUAGCGACCAAACCCACGAGGGAACAGAAGUACGAGCACCAGCGAUGCAGUAUCUUCAGCAACCAUGCUGUUUUGGGUUCAGGCUUACACCCACCCACAUAUGUUGUAUUAUACCAUUGCAUAACCAGAGAUCUCAGGAGCCUGAAUUCUCAGUCUCUGUGGCUGCACACUGCAACUGCUGUGCCAAUGAAAAUAGUGGUAUCAUAUGCUGAUGCACCAUCCCGUGGAAGUGCUACUAGCAUGGCUUUCCCUGAGACACGGGGUAUUUCUUCAGGCCUUCAUUUCUCCACUAGAAAGCCACCCAAGAAAAUGAUAUGCUAAAGAGGAAAUUUCCAAAAACAUUUGUUAAUGGCUGUGUAAAUUACAAAUGCUGUCAGUAAUAGCUUGUUAGUACAGAACCAAAAGGAGGGUAAGCCCCAGUCUGCUAUUACAAAGGUAGUACUGAAAUCACGCCAACAACAUACGAAAAUAUAAAACUCAGCUGGAGUCACAGGUUUGAACUUUGAUUGUGGGUAAUCGGCUGCACAGCACUAUCGUUAACGGUGGGAGACAUCUGACCGCGUAUCUGCGCAAAGUGAAAGCGUGCCUGCAUUUCUGCAAGCACGCUGACAGCAGGCACGACUUUAUCCACAGGGCUGUGAUGGAAGUUCUGGGAGCAGAGGGGAAGAAGUGAGGGGAGAGGUGCGAGGGGCCGCGGGAGGGCGCCGAGCCGCCUCGCAGUGACCGGGGGCCUACAGAGCUGCGUCGGAACUUUGCUCUGCUGUAUCUCGCGUCAGCUAGAGCAAACGGUGAUCGCAAACCCUCCUGUCCUUUCUCACUGUCGGAGAGCUCACGAAUCGAAGUGCUAAACCUGUGUAAUGAGCAGACGAAAGUGACCUCGGGUCACCUAGUAACGGCGACUGAGCCGAGUGACGCGGCGUUAUAGCAGACCGGGCGCCGGCCCGGGGCGGUGCAGAGGGCAGAAGAGCCGCUCCCGGCGCGCACAAGUUCGCAGCCCGGCCCGGGGCUACCCGCGCACGGCUGGCGCCAGCCCCGCGUUCGGAGCGCCGAGUGGCGCCGCCUGCCGAGGGGACCCGGAACCGCAGGCCGGGGCCGAAGGGUCAGCCGCGCGCCCGGCACCCCCGCGCCCGGCCCGGCGCCUUCCCCCCGGCCGCGGAGGGCGAC